rnacentral:lncRNA from 1 species
CAGAGGUUGCUGAGGUUCCCGGGAUCUGAGGACAGGAGCCUGUGCUUCUUCCACAGGACAAGACGUCGCGCCAUCGUGACCUCCCCGUCCUACACACCCGGGUCGCAGCAUUGGAAACACUUCUCUGCAGCAGCAGCACCACAGUGGACAUGGUUAUAGGGUGGCUUGGUGAGAGCAGGGCUGCGCUGCCCCUUCUGUCACCCCCACCCUGUGCCUGGAACAGCACUUGGGCACAGAGCCAGGACCCAUCAGAUUCAGCGACCUGACCCCAUCUUCCUGGGAAAACACUUGUUCGUUCCUGCAGGAAUGGCAGCUGGUGCCCUUCCAGUCAGAAUCAGCUUCUCUUUUCCUGUUGAAGCCACCAUCACUGCUCCCUUGUCCUAAGGCAGCUCAACUAAGGAGGUGCCCACUCGGCCUUCCCUGCUCCAGCCUCAAGAUGCCUUCCUCAGGCUCCACAUUUUCCCUCCAUACUUUGCACCUGUUCAGGGCACAGCCCUCAUCAUGCCCCUCAGGACUCCACUUGAGGCCUCUUACUUCAGGGAGAGACCAAGAAGAGGGGCCUGAAGCACUUCCUGCAGAAAGGAGACCCAGCCCCUGCCAGAGGCCUGUGUGGCUUCUUAUCUCCUUAGACCGGAGCAGUUGGAGGCUGGGUCAGAAAGGCAGAAAGGAACAGAAACCAACAAUGGGCAGGAAUGUCCUCCAGCUACAACCUAUAGGCGCAGCUACAGCCAACAGAUGGAGUUUCACUGUCUGUCGGCCAGGCUGGAGUGCAGUGGCGCAAUCUCGGCUCACCACAACCUCCACCUCCCAGGUUCAAGCAAUUCUCAUGCCUCAGCCUCCCAAGUAGUUGGGAUUACAGGCACCCGCUAGCAUGCCCAGCUAAUUUUGGUAUUUUUAGUAGAGACGGGGUUUCACCAUGUUGGCCAGGCUGGUCUAGAACUCCUGACCUCAGGUGAUCCACCCGUCUCGGCCUCCCAAAGUGCUGGGAUUACAGGCGUGAGCCACCACUCCUGGCCUAGGAUGCAAAUUUUAGGUUAUGUGUAUUUUACCACAAAUGAAAAAAGAAAAAGAUUCACAAUUCCAGUCAGGAGAAAGGCACUGUCUUCUAUACUGCUCAGAGGAGAUGUCAGCAUGACAUCUUGGGAGACCUAUUGUCAGUGUGCAUUAAAAUUUAAAUAUGCUAGGCCGGGCGCGGUGGCUCACGCCUGUAAUCGCAGCACUUUGGGAGGCCUAGGCGGGAGGAUCACCUGAGGCCAGGAGUUUGAGACCAGCCUGGCCAACAUUGUGAAACCCCGUCUCUACUAAAAAUACAAAAAUUAGCUGGAAAUGCUGGCAGGUGCCUGUAAUCCCAGCUACUCGGGAGGCUGAGGUGGGAGGAUCACUUGAACCCCGGGAGGUUGAGGCUGCAGUGAGCAGAGAUCGUGCCACUGCACUCCAGCCUGGGCAACAGAGCAAGACUAGCACUAGAGCUACCAGAGGAGUCCCAAUACCUGCUUGGACAACGUGGAUAAAGCUGUGACAUCUGGAACAGCUGUAGCCUUUUCACUGCUAUGGAGGAAGACUUGGAGGCUCCAGACAGCAGAGGCUGAGCACAGGGAGAAACCAUAUCUUGGUGACAUGAUUUGCACCCGUGGAUAAACUUUGCCAGCAACUACUUGAUCAACUUCCAGAUUUUUCAAUUACAUGAACCAAAAAUCCUGCCCCUGCUUUUCUCUUUGAGACAGAGUCUCACUAUGUUGCCCAGGCUGACCUCGAACUCCUGGGCUCAAGCGAAAAUUCCCUUUCCUAUAGGUCAGUUUGCAUCGAGUUCUCUCUGCUUUGUAACAUAAAAAUGUCGGACAACACUUUCUUUUGCAAUCAGAAUUUAACUAAUUAACACAAAAACAAUAAAUACAUUCCCCAAGGUCAAAUCUUCUCUUACCAGCUUUAAGAAAGCCUGCAAGUUAUUUUUAGUUCUUCCUUUGCCCUCAGAUGUUUCUGGCUUUUGAAUAAAAUAUGCAAGUGCCGUGUUGAGCGAAUUCUCACAUUAAGCUUGUCCUGAAUGGGGUUAAGAUAUCAGGACUACUUGAAAUUAGAAAAUAUUUUUGAGCCCCCACUAUGGACAAAGCCCCAUCAAGGGUGUGAUAAGAGCCGAAGAUAUCAUUAGAUGCAAUUUCUGCUCCAGGGGUCAAUGAGGAACAAACCUGCCUUCAUGAACAGCACCCACUUAGGAGGGAAGCUCCUGGAAGCCAAGCCCACUAUCUGGCUGGUUUACUGCUGUAUCUCCAGUGCCUAGAUUAGUGCCUGGCACAUUGCCAAGUAUAUAUUUUUAUAAUUGAAUAAAAAUAAUAGAAGU